rnacentral:rRNA from 1 species
AUUGAACGCUGGCGGCAGGCCUAACACAUGCAAGUCGAACGAGUGGCGGACGGGUGAGUAAUGUCUGGGACACUGCCCGAUGGAGGGGGCUAACUACUGGAAACGGUAGCUAAUACCGCAUACCAUCGGAUUUGCCCAGAUGGGAUUAGCUAGUGGGUGGGGUCACGGCUCACCUAGGCGACGCUCCCUAGCUGGUCUGAGAGGAUGCCCAGCCAGACGUGAACUGAGACACGGUCCAGACUCCUACGGGAGGCAGCAGUGGGGAAUAUUGGACAAUGGGGGAAACCCUGAUCCAGCCAUCCCGCGUGUGCGAUGAAGGCCUUCGGGUUGUAAAGCACUUUUGGCAGGAAAGCGGUACCUGCAGAAUAAGCACCGGCUAACUACGUGCCAGCAGCCGCGGUAAUAC